UUUGCUAACAAGGUCUAAACGGCGGUGAACGAUUUGCACGGCAAAUGAGGUGUGAAUGCGUCGAUUUUAUGCCGCUUCACGCAGGGGAUUGUCGGGAUCGAUGCCGUAAUCCUUGAGUUUGCGAUAGAGAGUCGAGCGCCCGAUUCCCAAUUUGCGCGCCACUUGGCUCAUCUGGCCGCGGUAGAAUUUCAGGGCAAACC
rnacentral:sRNA from 1 species